rnacentral:tRNA from 1 species
GCCAGCCCGAGGAGCAGGUCGGCGACCUCUGCCGGGUCCAGGCCGGCGCCGGUGGCCAGCUCGAUGGCCCGGCGGUACCAGUGCGCCGCGUCGGCG